GCUCUUCUCCUUCCUGCCACCUUGUGAAGAAGGUAUCUGGCUUCCCCUUUGCCUUCUGUUAUAAUUGUAAAUUUCCUGAGGCCUCCCCAGCCAUGUUGAACUAGCCUCCCUCUGUCGCCCAGGCUGGGAUGCAGUGGUGCCAUCUCAACUCACUGCAACCUCUACCUCCUGGGUUCGAGCUAUUCUCCUGCCUCAGCCUCCUGAGUAGCUGAGACUACAGAUGCCUGCCACCACACGGAGGGUCACGAAGGUGUGUUCCAAGGCCACAUCUCCAACCUCACAGAGAGGACAGGAAGUGAUCAGUACCCCAACUAGCAAGAGUGGCCCGUUCAUUGGCCGAGGUUCUUGAGGAUAGAGUGGGAGGUGGGAGCGUCCCUCGUGCUGCCUUCAUUUUUCCUACCCUCAGCUCAGGGGUCUGUGCUAGAGGAAGACACACGAAGGCUACUGUGCCCCCACCACAAGAGAGGGAAACAGGGAGACGCGUGGGUCUGGAGCCAAGCGUAUCUCUCUGUACCCAUCGCACACGAAUUUGAAUCAUCUGCUCUUUGGAAUCGCCUACACCCUGCUGCACCCACGAUGUGGCUGUAACUCCAUUAAAGAAUUGAAUAUCAUCUUCCACGGAAUCUCUGUCUGCACAAAAGGGGCACAUUUAAUUUUCUGUUUUUUAAAUAAAGGUUUAAAAAAUC